GGCGUGCUUAACACAUGCAAGUCGAACGAUGAAGCUGGAGCUUGCUCUGGUGGAUUAGUGGCGAACGGGUGAGUAACACGUGAGUAACCUGCCCUUGACUCUGGGAUAAGCGCUGGAAACGGCGUCUAAUACCGGAUACGAGCUUCCACCGCAUGGUGAGUUGCUGGAAAGAAUUUCGGUCAAGGAUGGACUCGCGGCCUAUCAGCUUGUUGGUGAGGUAACGGCUCACCAAGGCGACGACGGGUAGCCGGCCUGAGAGGGUGACCGGCCACACUGGGACUGAGACACGGCCCAGACUCCUACGGGAGGCAGCAGUGGGGAAUAUUGCACAAUGGGCGCAAGCCUGAUGCAGCAACGCCGCGUGAGGGACGAAGGCCUUCGGGUCGUAAACCUCUUUUAGCAGGGAAGAAGCGAAAGUGACGGUACCUGCAGAAAAAGCACCGGCUAACUACGUGCCAGCAGCCGCGGUAAUACGUAGGGUGCGAGCGUUAUCCGGAAUUAUUGGGCGUAAAGAGCUCGUAGGCGGUUUGUCACGUCUGCUGUGAAAACUGGAGGCUCAACCUUCAGCCUGCAGUGGGUACGGGCAGACUAGAGUGCGGUAGGGGAGAUUGGAAUUCCUGGUGUAGCGGUGGAAUGCGCAGAUAUCAGGAGGAACACCGAUGGCGAAGGCAGAUCUCUGGGCCGUUACUGACGCUGAGGAGCGAAAGCGUGGGGAGCGAACAGGAUUAGAUACCCUGGUAGUCCACGCCGUAAACGGUGGGCGCUAGAUGUGGGGACCAUUCCACGGUUUCCGUGUCGCAGCUAACGCAUUAAGCGCCCCGCCUGGGGAGUACGGCCGCAAGGCUAAAACUCAAAGGAAUU
rnacentral:rRNA from 1 species